GAUGAACGCUGGCGGCAGGCCUAACACAUGCAAGUCGAACGGUAACAGGAAACAGCUUGCUGUUUCGCUGACGAGUGGCGGACGGGUGAGUAAUGUCUGGGAAACUGCCUGAUGGAGGGGGAUAACUACUGGAAACGGUAGCUAAUACCGCAUAACGUCGCAAGACCAAAGAGGGGGACCUUCGGGCCUCUUGCCAUCGGAUGUGCCCAGAUGGGAUUAGCUAGUAGGUGGGGUAACGGCUCACCUAGGCGACGAUCCCUAGCUGGUCUGAGAGGAUGACCAGCCACACUGGAACUGAGACACGGUCCAGACUCCUACGGGAGGCAGCAGUGGGGAAUAUUGCACAAUGGGCGCUAGCCUGAUGCAGCCAUGCCGCGUGUAUGAAGAAGGCCUUCGGGUUGUAAAGUACUUUCAGCGGGGAGGAAGGGAGUAAAGUUAAUACCUUUGCUCAUUGACGUUACCCGCAGAAGAAGCACCGGCUAACUCCGUGCCAGCCGCCGCUGUAA
rnacentral:rRNA from 1 species